rnacentral:rRNA from 1 species
CUCCCGUUGAUCCUGCCGGACCCGACUGCUAUCGGAUUGAGAUUUAGCCAUGCGAGUCGAACGUCCCCCUGUUGCGGGGGGCGUGGCGUACGGCUCAGUAACACGUAGUCAACCUGCCCUGGAGACAAGGACAACCCCGGGAAACUGGGAUUAAUCCUUGAUAGGUCAUCUCAUCUGGAAGGAGAGAUGGCUUAAAGGGGUACGCGGGCUUCUUCCGCGAAUUCGCUCCAGGAUGGGACUGCGUCCGAUCAGGCUGUUGGCGGGGUAAUGGCCCACCAAACCUGUAACCGGUACGGGCCUUGAGAGAGGUGGCCCGGAGAUGGACACUGAGAGAAGGGUCCAGGUCCUACGGGGCGCAGCAGGCGCGAAACCUUCGCAAUGCGCGAAAGCGUGACGAGGUUAAUCCGAGUGAUUUCCGCUGAGGAGAUCUUUUGUCAGCUGUAAAUAGGCAGGCGAAUAAGGGGAGGGCAAGCCUGGUGUCAGCCGCCGCGGUAAUACCAGCUCCUCGAGUGGUCGGGGCGAUUAUUGGGCCUAAAGCAUCCGUAGCCGGUUCCGUAGGUCCUCUGUUAAAUCCAACCGCUUAACGGUUGACCUGCAGAGGAUACCGCGGGACUAGGAGGCGGGAGAGGCGGACGGUAUUCCGCGUGUAGGGGUAAAAUCCUUUGAUCCGCGGAGGACCACCAGUGGCGAAGGCGGUCCACCAGAACGCGCUCGACGGUGAGGGAUGAAAGCUGGGGGAGCGAACCGGAUUAGAUACCCGGGUAGUCCCAGCCGUAAACGAUGCUAGCUAGAUGAUUCAUUCGCAAGUCGCGAAUGAAGUGUCGCAGGGAAGCCGUUAAGCUAGCCGCCUGGGGAGUACGGUCGCAAGGCUGAAACUUAAAGAAUUUGGCGGGGGAGCA